rnacentral:lncRNA from 1 species
CCGGAAGGGGCGCCUUAAAGGGGAGGCCGCUGAUUCGCCUCCGAUUUCUGUGCCUGCAUCGGCCCCACCCUCUUAAAGGGCAAGGGACUGCGUUUCGAGGGCGUGGCAGGCUUCCCAUUUUACAAAGCUUUGCGCCUUGCCCCCCAAAAGAGGGUUAUUCCAUUGAAGGCCAGUGCCAGUUUCCCAGACAUCCAAGGGAAAACUGCAGGAUCUUUGUGCUGCAGAGGUGGAGAUGGUGUGAGGCCGACGCAUCCCCUAGAGGGGCAGCCGGCCCGCUCCAAGGCGGGGAUGGGCUCGCCACUCCGGAGCGCGGGCGUCCCGAGUAUACGGCGAUGACCCCUUCUCAGAGGCAGACCAGCCCCUUGGGAUAAUCAAUGUCUUUCAAGGAGCUGCUCGCACCCGAAAGGGACGCCCAUCUUUUAAAGGAAAGACCCCUGUCCAGACGAGACCUGCAGCUUGCCUUCCUCCAGAAGCGUUUCCAGCGCACACGCCACGCCCGACGUUAUGUAGGGGCCGAGACACUACAGGGAACAAAACCAAGGCCUUUGCGUGGGGCUGGCCUUCUAGCCCGGGGAGGCAGAGGCAAUCAUUGUGUGGUAGCGGUUGUCACCUGGGGGCGGUGCUGUUCUCCGGGAUGACACUGCAGGAGCGAGUAGGAGGCUUCCUAGGCGAGGGUCAUUGUGGCUGCUGCCACACCUGCGAGGGUGUGGGUCGAGUUCAGGGUCGCCGCUCAACACCAGGAAAGCAGGGGACCCUUGGACAGAGGAGUCCGCUCCCAAGGCCAAGAUGCCUCGCUGUGUAGCACUUGGAUGGUGAUGAGCGCGAUGGAGAGCAAGGUGUCACUGUGUAGUCCAGGCUGCCCUUGAACUCCCUAAUAGUCCAGGCUGGCCUUGAACUCAAGAUCCUCCUGCUUCAGUCUCCUGAUUGCCGGGAUCAUAAGUGUGCACAGCCACGCCCAGCAGGGGAGGAGGUGCUGAGGACAGGAAGCUGCGGUGGGUGCAUUUAGAGGGAGGCAGCUCAGCCUGAAAGGCCAGGCCGAGCCUCCUCAGAACCGCUGGGGCCUCUGGAGGGGCGGCUGGACUGUGUGCGGCAAGUUUUGUUCAAACCCGGAAGUGACCCCAGGCCACACCCCUCUGCCCUGCAGGCCCAGGGGACACCUGGGGUUGGGAAGCCCCGCUCCUGAGCAGGUUCCCUGAGCAAAGGGGACCCAGGGGGUGGCCCUCUCCCUCCAGGGCCCAGGCUCUGUGGCCUGACCUGGAACCCCCGCCCCCAGGUGUGAUGGUCGGCUCCCAAGCAGACAUGGUGCCUGCCUCCACCACCGAGGGGCCAGGGAGAAGCUGGCGCCGGCGGCCCCGCGACCACGGCCCAGUAUGAGUGCGGGAGUGCGGCAAGUCUUUCCGGUGGUCGUCCAGGCUCCUGCAUCACCAGCGCACGCACACUGGCGAGCGGCCCUACAAGUGCCCCCGACUGCCCCAAGGCCUUCAAGGGCUCCUCUGCACUGCUCUACCAUCAGCGAGGCCACACGGGC